CACACUACAAGAAAAUUAAUAUUUAAGGAUACUUUUUUCGGCAAUUAAUAUGCUUAAAAUUGCUCUAAAUUAGUUUACUGUCACAUUUGAAAUAGUUGUUAUAUAUAUAUAUAUAUAUAUACCGAUGCUUAUGCUGUAUGUCGAUGAGAUAGAAUUUUGUAAAGUUCUGAUGCGAUAAAUUAGUUUGUAAUUUGAUAUAACAACCAGUUCAUAUGAUAAUAUUUUUUGAAAUGUCGAUAUUUGUUAUGUAGUAUGAACGUUUGGAUACGUUUUUU
rnacentral:lncRNA from 1 species